rnacentral:rRNA from 1 species
GACGAACGCUGGCGGCGUGCUUAACACAUGCAAGUCGAACGGAAAGGCCCUGCUUUUGUGGGGUGCUCGAGUGGCGAACGGGUGAGUAACACGUGAGUAACCUGCCCUUGACUUUGGGAUAACUUCAGGAAACUGGGGCUAAUACCGGAUAGGAGCUCCUGCUGCAUGGUGGGGGUUGGAAAGUUUCGGCGGUUGGGGAUGGACUCGCGGCUUAUCAGCUUGUUGGUGGGGUAGUGGCUUACCAAGGCUUUGACGGGUAGCCGGCCUGAGAGGGUGACCGGCCACAUUGGGACUGCGAUACGGCCCAGACUCCUACGGGAGGCAGCAGUGGGGAAUAUUGCACAAUGGGCGGAAGCCUGAUGCAGCAACGCCGCGUGCGGGAUGACGUCCUUCGGGUUGUAAACCGCUUUCGCCUGUGACGAAGCGUGAGUGACGGUAAUGGGUAAAGAAGCACCGGCUAACUACGUG